rnacentral:rRNA from 1 species
UACGUAGGGUGCAAGCGUUAAUCGGAAUUACUGGGCGUAAAGCGUGCGCAGGCGGCCAUGCAAGACAGAUGUGAAAUCCCCGGGCUCAACCUGGGAACUGCAUUUGUGACUGCAUGGCUAGAGUACGGCAGAGGGGGAUGGAAUUCCGCGUGUAGCAGUGAAAUGCGUAGAGAUGCGGAGGAACACCGAUGGCGAAGGCAGCCCCCUGGGCUAACACUGACGCUCAGGCACGAAAGCGUGGGGAGCAAACAGG